CGCGGGGUGGAGCAGUCUGGUAGCUCGUCGGGCUCAUAACCCGAAGGUCGAAGGUUCAAAUCCUUCCCCCGCAACCA
rnacentral:tRNA from 12 species